rnacentral:rRNA from 1 species
UAAGACGAACCGAGCGAACGUUGUUCGGAAUCACUGGGCUUAAAGGGCGCGUAGGCGGCUUACCAAGUCAGGGGUGAAAUUUUGCGGCUUAACCGUAACAGUGCCUUUGAUACUGGUAGGCUCGAGGGAGAUAGGGGUCUGCGGAACUUCUGGUGGAGCGGUGAAAUGCGUUGAUAUCAGAAGGAACGCCGGUGGCGAAAGCGGCGGACUGGAUCUCUUCUGACGCUGAGGCGCGAAAGCUAGGGGAGCAAACGGGAUUAGAUACCCCGGUAGUCCUAGCCCUAAACGUUGGGUACUAGAUUGUAAGUCUGACAUGGGCCUACAGUCGAAGCAAAAGUGUUAAGUACCCCGCCUGGGGAGUAUGGUCGCAAGGCUG